rnacentral:tRNA from 1 species
CGCGGAGUGGCGCAGUUGGUUAGCGCACCGGACUCAUAAUCCGGGGGUCAGGGGUUCAAGUCCCCUCUCCGUUA